CUGGGGUUGUUGCUCAUUGGUAAAGCACUUGCCUGGCAUGUGUGAGGCACUGAGUUCGAUUCACAGUACCGCAUA
rnacentral:tRNA from 1 species